CUGAUUUCAUCUGGUGACGUAGA
rnacentral:miRNA from 1 species